AAGGGAGAGGAAUAAGUAGAAAUCUACCAUUGGAUCGGGGAUAGCGGCGGGAAACUGCCGGUAAUACCCGAUAACGUCUUUGGACCAAAGGUGUGAUUCCGUCUGAGGAUGAGUCUACUUCCUAUUAGCUAGUUGGCGGGGUAAUGGCCCACCAAGGCAACGAUGGGUAGCAGGUGUGAGAGCAUGACCUGCCUCAUUGGGACUGAGACACUGCCCAGACACCUACGGGUGGCUGCAGUCGAGAAUCUUCGGCAAUGGACGAAAGUCUGACCGAGCGACGCCGCGUGCGGGAUGAAGGCCUUCGGGUUGCAAACCGCUGUCGGAGGGGAACAAAUGUACGGGGGUUCUCCCCUGUAUUUGAGUGAACCUAGGAGGAAGGAGAGGCUAAGCUCGUGCCAGCAGCCGCGGUAAGACGAGCUCUCCGAACGUUAUUCGGUAUCACUGGGCUUAAAGAGUUCGUAGGCGGUCUGGUAGGUGAGGUGUGAAAUCCCCCGGCUCAACCGGGGAACUGCGCUUCAAACCGCCGGACUUGAGGGAGACAGAGGUGGGCGGAACAGAUGGUGGAGCGGUGAAAUGCGUUGA
rnacentral:rRNA from 1 species